rnacentral:tRNA from 1 species
UCCCAGGUGGUCCAGUGGUUAAGACUCUGAGCUUCAAAUGCAGGAGGCACAGGUUCAAUCCCUGGGUUGGGAA